CUCCCUCCGCUCAGCACAGCCGGGAGCUGCGAUUUACUGCUGCUGCUUCUCCUGGGAGCCGGGAGCCACCGGGCGGAGCCGGAGACUCCAGUAAUCAAGGCUCCUAGAAGACGUUACUGCUGCCUCCAUUGUGAUCUGGAGACCUGGACCAAGCAGCUGCUGCUCUGUGUCAGGGAAAGACCAGAGAAACCAAUGGGGGACUUUCCGCGGUGGCUGGAACCAGCCCUUGGGGGAGCCACAGGCUCUGCCAACACCAGCCCCGGAGCCGGAGCCUGCGGAUCACCUCAGCUCCCUCACAGAUUUCCACCACAACUUCAACAACCAUCACCCAUCCAUUAAACUAUCUCUGGAAUAACUCCACACUAGCAUCAACUUCCUGGACAGCAAUUAGCUGCAAUAAUGGAACCCUACAGACAACAAUAUAUGAGAAACCCACAGAUCACCACACCUACCUUCACAGAUCCAAUAAUUGCCCCAAACAUACGAAGAAAUCAGUUAUCUACAGCCAGACACUCAGAUGCCACAGAUUAUGCUCUGAGGAAAAAGUCCAGGAUACAUACCUUAACACACUUAAAACCACCCUUACCAAACAAGGACACUCCACCAAAGAAAAUGGGUCCAUCAAUGACUAUUAGUCUGGAUGGGUAGACCAGAACACACCAACUCAAAGCAGCACCAGACCCUGCCAGAACAACAGAUGGAAAACCUGCAGACAUAGCUCCACUGCUACAAUGAUCAACACCCCCCAGAACACACCUUUCAAGAUCCAUGGGUCCUACACAUUCCCAUCAUGACAUGGGGUGUACUUCACCCAGUGCACUAAAUGCCCCAGUAACAACUACGUGGGUGAAACCAGACAGGCUCUAUGCUCUCGAGUGAACUGACACAUAAAAAUGCAAAAAGGCAAAAAUGCUCUAUCGCCUGUGGGUGAACACUUUUCACAAAAUGAUCACUCUGUGUGUGAACUCUCAGUCCUCAUCCUCAAAAGAAACCUGCUCCAUACCUUCAAAAGAUGAGCCUGGAGGCUUAAAUUCAUAACUUUGCUGGAGUCUAAAAAUCCUGGACUGAAUAGAGACACUGAUUUUAUGGCUUAUGGAUUUAUUACAACAAACUGUAACUCUCUAACCCCCUUUUUGUUCUAUGACUACUACAGUGGUGUUAACAGGCCACUUCACCUUGAGUGGGACUUUGUCAGCAAUCAGUUCCACUUUGCAUGUAGCUGUGACAGCCUGACUUUAGUACUUUUCCCAGACCCAGAGAAGAGCUCUGUGUAAACUCGAAAGCUUGUCUCUCUCCCCAACAGAAGUUGAACUGGUAAAAGAUAUCACCUUUGUGUCAUAAAUAGAUAGCUAAGGGUUAAUGUCUCUUUCACCUAAAAAAAAGUAACCUGAAGCACCUGACCAGAGGACCAAUCAGGAAACCAGACUUUUUCAGAUCUGGGUGGAGGGAAGUUUGUGUCUGAGUUCUUUGUCUUCUGCCUGUACUCUCUCGGCUAUGAGAAGUGAUUUUUUCUGUCUCCUGCCUUUCUAAUCUUCUGUUUCCCAGUUGUGAGUACAAAAGAUCAGAUAGUGAUUUAUAUGUUUUUUUGUAUUUACAUGUCUAUAGUUGCUGGAGUGUUUUGAAUUGUAUUCUUUUUGAAUAAGGCUGUUUAUUCAAUAUUCUUUUAAGCAAUUGACCCUGUAUUUGUCACCUUAAUACAGAGAGACCAUUUUUAUGUAUUUUUCUUUCUUUUUAUAUAAAGCUUUCUU